GACCCCUUCGUCUAGAGGCCUAGGACACCGCCCUUUCACGGCGGNAACANGGGUUCGAAUCCCGUAGGGGUCGCCA
rnacentral:tRNA from 1 species